UGAGAUUACCUUCUGCACUAUCUUUAUUUUCUUACAUUCUAUCCCCCCACACUCUGCAAUGUCUGGGCUGGCAUAUUCUUGCUAUGAAUGACAGGCCCUGGUCAUCACUUUUGGUGUACCUUGAAUGCUAGUUUAAAAUUCUCUAACUCUUGAAAUUUGGAUAGAGACAAGCUUUUAAACAUUUUUUUUAAAAUAAGGUACCGUAGCUAUAGUGUUAUGAUGUAGAAGCCUUCUUGCCUCCUACAGAACUUUGUUUUCAUGCAAAAGAAAAGCCUGGCAGAGGUAUUGCAGUAAGAGGGGCAAACAGCAUUUGAAUUUCUCAUGCCAGCUCCACUACUAGACAGCUGAGAAAGUCAUUCCUGCUGUUCAUGUGGUAUUUUCAUUUAGCUAUCUUCUAAAAUGAUCUGAAGUAAUUAAAGGCCUCCCUUUAUUUUUUCCCCUUGGACAUAAUUGAACAUCUUAUAUACAUGAAGGAUGUCAGUCAAAACUCUGAAUAUCACAAUACUAGAUUUUGAUUGAUAUGUUAUAAACAAACAAUCAUCAGUAAUUCAAGCACUCUAACAAAGUGCUGCAAAUAUCUUUUCCUAAGAGAAGCUGGCAGUUGACAGUACCUGGGAUGGAAGAGUGGAAAAGGGGGGACCUCCAUCAUCAACACUGCAAGAGGAGGACCAGCAGAUUUUCACAACAGCAGAAUUUCACUAGUUAUUGGAGUUCAGCUUUCCCAAUUCAAUUCACAAACCACAGCUUAUUCAUUAUGUGCUUGCAGCAAUUCUUUUGGCUUAUAUAAACUUGUGACUAUUGUUAUCCAAGUUUUAGAAUUUCUUUGCUAUUCUCUUACUUGAGGGUAAUUUUAGCUACAGUUGUGUACUAGAGUAGUUCAGCUAAAUUAAAACAGAGAGAGUUUCUGACUGAUAUCUACAAUUUCUCUCUACUCAGGUUCUCAAAUCCCUUGCACUGCAUUUAUUCUGUAUCAACAGCUGCACUUAGUAGAGAGUUAUGCUUUUCUCAUCAGUCAGCUAUGGACAUGCAAAUUUGCUUCUUACGUGUUCCCCUUAGGAGUCUAAUUUAUAAACAUGAAAUAACAUUCCCAUAAUCUGUAACUGCUUCCAAAAGAUAUCUGUUUCCACAUACAGAUAAUAGCACAGCUUUCAAGCACCUAUCAGAAUAUGAAAAUAAAACAACUCCCUCUCCAUCUACUUGCUACCUAUCCAAGUACCCAAAUAGGGAAAUUCAAUAUAUGACUUAAACAGAUUUUAAAUUGAAAAUAAUUUUCAUGAGGAAUGGAACGUGCUGUAUUUCUUAGCAUAAGAAAGGCACAGAAAGUUUGGACUGGAAUACUUGAUGUAAUCUCUCUAUAGACAUUCCCACAAAAAAUUUACUGCAUAAGGACAACAACUUUUCAUGUCCUUCCUUCAAAUAUUUAUCUUUAGUUGUAUUUUUUAAGGAGGUAUUCCACAUAACCCAAAUUUGAUUACUCUAUUUCCUUCAAAGAAGAGGAUGUUUUUUGCAUAAAAACUGUAUCAUAAAAUCACAGAAUCAUAGAAUCACAAAAUCAACAGGGUGGUUGAUGUUGUAAGGAGACACUGAAGAUCAUCUCAUCCAAUCCCCAUGCUCAAGCAGGACCAUCUCCAGCCAGUCUCCCAACACCAUGGCCAGAUGACUUUUGAUAUCUGCAAGGAUGGAGACCCCACAACAUCCCUGGACAGCCUGUGUUUCCAAAUGCCAGGGCUCGGUCCUGCUCACAGUGGCAGUGUUUUCUGAUGUGCACACAGAGCCUCCUGUGUUUCAGUGUGUCCUGCCUGGGGACGCCACAGAAAAGAGCCUGGCUCCGUCUUCUUUGCACCAUCCCUGCAGACACCUACCCCUAUAGAUGAGACACCCCCUGAACCUCCUCCAGGCCAAGCUCACUCUCAGCCUUUUGCUGCAGAAGAGAUGCAGCAUCAUCAUCUGUGUGUCCCAUCACAAGAUGCUGCCCAGUACAUCCAUUUCUCUUUUCCCUGGGAAGCCCAGCGCUGGCACUCUGCACUCCAGCUCUGGCCUCCCCAGUGCUGAGCAGAGCAGAAGAAACCCCUCCCUCAACCUGCAGGCAGCGUGUUGUUAACACAGCACAAUUCACUGCUGCUGGCCAGAAUGCUUCAAAGACGUUUUUGGUAGGUGACAUCUUUUUGAGCUUCAUCAAAUCUGAUACCACAGCUUUCAAAUCAUACACUCUUUUCCCCUUGAGUGCUGUUGACUGAUUUUGCACACAGAAGACUUAGCAAUUGUUUAUGGGUUUUGUGAGCAAAAAACACAAGCACAAGUGAAUGAGCUGUAGCAUUGAGCUGCCUUCAUACAAUACAGAAUAAUAUCUGAGUAAUCCAUUCAAAGAAAAAAUUAUAUUAACUGUGGCUCAAAUUUUAAGAACACAGUCAUUUUAUAGAACUGAGUUUUAUAAACUUGGCUUUAAGAAACAAACAGAUCAAGACUCUAACUAAAAAAAAUCAUCUUUAGAGAAAAAAUACUUCUUCUAGCCAAAAGAAUAAAUUCCAGUUUUUCUGCUAUUCAUUUUCCCAUUUCCAAAGUAUGGGAAAGCAGAGUUUGCAAUAAUGAGGUUUAUACAUGUUAAACUACUUGGGUUUUUCCUUCUUUUGUGCAAGGUGACUCCUUAUCCACUCCCAGAAAUCUUACUUGUGCAGCUCACAGGUACCUCUGGACUCUUAAAUGGGAAAUUACAGGGUCCUGGAUGUACCACAUGAUCACCAAUAACUAUGAUUCACUGAGGUGAUCAACCAACAAAUAGUGAAAACCGAACUUGGGGUCUAAUACGUGUGGGGUUUCCAGUGGAAACAGGAAAACAUCAAGGCUGCUCAAAAAGGUAGAGCUUUCCUCUAGAAGUCCUUAUCAAAUUCUGUCCUGUUGAGCCCUAGAAAAAGUUGCAAAUAUCUAACACUGCUACUAUGUUCAGGAGUAUGGCAAAUCAGAAUUAUAUGACAGGAAGACUUAAUUUACUUAUGGUAGAAAAAUGUAACUGGUGUUUAUGAGUAAGUAUGGUAGAGGAAACAGGGGCCCUGCAGGAAUGAAAAAAAACUCUAAAAUAAACACGCACAAAAAAUUAAAAAAUAACUUUUGAGGAUUGGCACAAGAACAAAUCACUGGAACUCAACAAUAGGAUUCUAAUGGCAAAGGUACUGGAGAAACAUUCCAGUGAUAGGAGAACUACUUCUGUUUCUACAUAUGGCUUCUCAAGUGCAUGAAAGGGACAAAAUAGUUCACCAUGAGAGCAAAUGAUCCAGGAAGUCUCUUGCAGGUCAGUAACAGCAUGGCUACACCUCAGUUCCAGAACUGCCCUGGAUGAGGAACCACAUACAGGCUGAAAUAGCUGAGAAGUGCUAGAUGAGAUAUAUCUGUGGCAAUACAGUUUCCUCCUAAGCUGGUUGCAGUUCCAUUCUUAGCAUGAACAGAUUUUUUUAUUUCUGGGCUGCAAGUGUUUCAACUAGCUGGAUAGCUGCUAACUAUCUCUAAGUGCCAGCAGCAGCUCAGCUUAACCAGAGUGAGCAAAUGGGUGGCAGUGCUAGCAGCCAGUAAUUCCAGCCAAUUCCCACCACCUUGCCUUGGAGAUGAGCAGCUGCCAGCAAAAAGGGCGAACAGGCACGAGCCAAAAGUGGAUUACACUUCCAAAGUGUUUGAGAAGUGCCACUCUGGGAAGAUGAAUUGAAACAAGAUGCUGCCUUAUUCUCACCACUUCAAUGCUCAGUGACACAAACCCCAUACCUGACUCCUUGAGCAAACUGGAGGGAGAAAUUGGAUUUCCUCCCCCCUCAGUGAUGUGUUUGUGUUUCAACACUGCUCCUGACACUGCUUAAAUCAAGAAAGAAAUGAAGAACUUCUUUUCUGUGCUCAAUUCCCUUGCAAGCUACAGUUGCAUUUCCAAACACUCCAUUCAAAGAUACAGCAAUAAUUGGUGAUCUAUGUGACAGAUAUGCUGUGUUCAUACUUCUUCUCCUCUUAUUUGCCAGCACCUUGUAAAGGUAGUAAUUUUUUGGAUAAUUUUUUAUGUUCUUCACAUCGUGCACAAUGGCUGAUUUCACUGUCAAGCUACAUCUAGACUGGCAUAUAUCUGUGUAUGAUUUAUCAUAGGUUUAUUGAAGCUAUCAUUGUCAUUAUCACUUAUUUUCCUUGAAUGUGUAUCAUCUCACACAGAGCUCCUCUAUUACCCCUGAUAUGAGCAUAUCUGAGAGCGGUCACUUUAAAGACUAAUUCAGAAUAUCACAUAAUAUUUCAUCUGAUGGCACAAAACUGAUUUAUAAUUUUGCAGAAAAUUAUUGUUCCUGUUCUAUAGCAUGGUUAAUAGCUGAGGUCCAUACAGAGUGCAAUCAGGGCAUCAAGUUUUAUAUCUGGCUGCCUUUUAUUGAUGGGUUUCUUCUCUACUACAUGUGCGCUUUUACUGAAUUAUCUCUUCAUUUCUAGUGAGAUAAUUCACCCCAUCUCUGCUGUUACAGUUACUACUGGAUCUGUCAUGUAUUUAAUAAAGGGUGGUGUAAUUUUUCCAAAUACUAAAUUUCCCUUAUUUCCAUAAAUGUGAAAAUCUUAGAUAUAUAUUUUCUGUACAUUAAUGUAAAUAAAUGAGAUUUGACAAGAUGGAGAUGACAAUCUUCAGCCAGGCCAUCUGGGAACAGUGGGAUUUGUUUGCCAUUUCAUUUCUCACUCCAAAUCCUACCGUGUCCCAGCAUGCAAAGAUCUGUUAAGGAACAGUGCCAUCAGCUAAAACAUGUUGGAUAUCCUUGCGUGGCCAGCAGAACAGGACAGAGGACUAUGGCAGUGUUGAAAAAACUACAGUUAGUUUACAAGCCCUCAGAGAGCACAGAACUGGAAUUGCCAUGAAUUUCAUUGAUCCUGCAUCCUUUUAAUGUGGCAGCAAUGCCAAAUGUGCAGUGCCGUAAUUUUUGUUUCAAAAUUCAAAUCUUCAGAAAAACUCAAAACUACUUGCAGUCCUGCAGUGAAAAAGGGCUCAGGUUUGACUUCUGUUUAGUCCUCUGUGUAAAGGAAGGAGAUUUUAUGCAUGGGAAGGACAAGCACAUGGAAGUAAAAGCAGACACAAUGACACAGGAGGAAGAGGGCAAGCCCUGGUGGUUCCUAUUGCUGGACAAAUAAUUCGAUUUCUCUGUGUACAGCAGAGGUGAGAAUGUCUCCUAGAGUGGAGACAGCUUUUUUAAGGAGUUGUUCUCUUUUUCUUCUCAUAUACAUGAAGCUUAGCAACAAAGCACCGUGACCUUGGUGAAGGCACCUACACACUUCUAGAAGGAGGUAGUAUUUGCAUGGAAUUUGCUUUGAAAGGAAAUCGUAUCCUAAUAGUUUUAUACCUGUCAUUCUGCUUUUUUUUUCUGAGCAAUACUAAAGCCCUGAAUUUUCUUUGAGUCCCUGAAAAGCCUCUCAUUUAGUUAUUUAAUUUAUAUAAUGCUUGUGGUCUUGGCAGUUGGAUGCUUUGCAGGCAAGAAAGAAUUUAACAUUACAUAAGCCACCCACAACAGGUACAGAAGCUAAAUUACUGCUGUUGAUGCUAUUGAAAACCUUGACAGUCAAAUUAACAAAACAAAAAACAAAUCCAUCAAAAGCUAAACACAGCACAUCAAAUUUGCUUUACACACUCCAAACCACAAAACUUGGUUGGAUCCAAGUGACAAACUGGAAAAUACCACUGGAAAAAGCCCCACACUUGCCUUGCUUGCUCCUAGGACCAGGCUGUCUGAUGAAUAUCCCUCAUGGCCAGGCAGCAGAAGUAAGAGAUACAGACCCAUCUCAGGGUUUUCUUGGCUAUUUGCUGUUCAACAAUGUAAGCAUUCUCCUUCUCUGUAAUGUAAUGUUGGUACCACUCGCUCACAGAAGAAGGGGGUAAGGGUGAGUGCCCCCAGGAAAUUGGACACGAGUCAUAGGGAGUCAUGAGCCUGCACUAAGUCAGGCUGCUGUUUCCCUGGCAAGAUGUGUGCCCUCUCUAAUCAGUUUUGCAUGGACCAUGUGGCUCUCUAGUUCCUGAAUGCUGGUUUCAUGUAAUUAGAAAAGAUUAAGGAUGUUCAGCUCUCUUGUGUGUGCAGAGAACAGUAUGCUAACUGAUUUAACUGGGUUUCAUUCAGAACUCUAGGAAAAUAAAAUCUUGCUUUGAGAGGCAAUGUGAUCCUACAAAUUAACUCUGGGAUGAGAAGCAAUACAUUCAACAGACUGUUCCUGAAAUGUCAUGUGUACCUGGCCCACAUUGGGAAAAUCAUGAGCCUCAGCAAGAUGCAACCUACCACCCCACCUCAAACACCCCACCUCCCCCUUCCAAUUAGUCAGCCAUGAGGACUGGCUUGAUCUUCAGAGGUGUUGAGCACCUGCAGCUCAUUCUGACUUCUGCAUCUAAAAAACAAAUUCUGUGGGAGGUGUGAAUGACUAUUAUCUCUGAAAACCAAGCUAUUUGGGUAAAAAUUUCAUGCUCUUUUUAUUUUUUUUAAGGUUCUGGCUGCAUUAUGCCUUGGUUCUCCCCUUUCCGAGAUAAUAACAGUUUUACCAGCUCCAUGCGUGCGCAGUGCUUGUUACUUGGGAGAACGCUAAAUAGAGGUUGGAUGGGAUUAUGUUCCUACUGCUUCUGCAAUGAACGUGUUUCUGACAGCUGCUGGUUCCAGAAGGCACUGGAUGCCAACCACCUGCCCAAGGAGUAUUCCUGUCCAGGAAGACUUCUAAAUAAUUAAGGUGAUCUCCAUGAGUGAUCUUUUUGCAGCAAAUGAGGUCUGGAGAGAUAUUACCAACUUGGCACAUGAGGAGGAAGAGAAAGAGGAAGGGGAAGAGAAAAGAAUGUAGUGCAUAUUUGCAUUUGGGCAUCUACAGUCCUGUCUUUGUCUCUGUCUGUCUAAACUGCCUGUACCAGAACAGUCUAGAGUAGACUGAACUACAUGAUAGGUAGCAGAAUUAAUUUCUGAUAUUGUCUUCCACUACUAUUUUUGUCAGAUAUUCAUUUUCAUAGCAAAAAUAGGGUUUUCAGAAGAGAAAGAAACCUAUUUUAUCAGUUAGGAAAUCCUCUUAUUUACUACUCCAGCACAAAGACAUUUUGCAAAAUGUUUUUUCCAUUCAAUUUUUAAAUGGGAAAAAAAGCAUUUUUUAAUAGAACUCUAUACUGCAUGUGUUCCAAGCCCAUAAAAACCGGGGUAAGUCUGCAACUGCUUAAGAUGGUUCUGUAUCAGGAUUAUUUUCAAGUACUGCAUUUUAUCUAAAUUUUUGUCUUUUGUACACCUUUUCUAUAACAGAUACACAAAGGAUUUUGUGAUUGUAUGCCAUUGUAUGCUUCACAUAAAUAAAGAGAAGAUAAAAAAUUUAUAAAUCACAAUAACAAACUAUUUCAGAAAUAGAGAUUUCAUGUUAGAUACCCAAUAUACCAUUCUCAUUAUCACCAUUAUUCAUCAGGAUGACUCACACCAACAACUGAUGUCUGUUUACUUGAAAUCUUUUUCCAUUUAUUGUUCUCUACAGAAUCAGAGGUGAUAAGGUGUCUGCUUUCUUUUAUAUAUUGAUUAAAAAAGGAAAACAGAAUCUCCCUCAUUUCCAUGAGUAAGUGAGCGUUAAAUGUUUGUCUGUGUUCCUUUGUUUCUCAUGCAUUAAAGAAUGUGCAUAGGGUUGUGAGUAGUCAGCAUUUACCCAAGCACACUGACACAAGGGUGUUUCCAGAACUUGCAUUAAGUUUAUGGUAAAUUAUAGACAUAUUUUUCUGGGUAUGCUCAAUAGAAGGUUAGGAACCUAUUAUCAAAGAAGAAAUUUGACCAUACCAGGAGUAGAUUUUGCUUGGUUGUACUUUACAGUUUACUUCCUUACAUACAUUGGGAUGGUCUGUACUUGUUUGUUCCUCACUUCAUAUUACAACAAUUCAAGAUUAAUUCAGCUAAUAGCAUUGUCUCAGCAGAGAAAAAUGAGCUAUGGUUUGUUUGUCCUUUUAGUCAUAUGUGCUCUGUGAUUUUGUUUAAGUUUGAACAGCCACUUUAUGCAUCUGAAUCCUUGCUGUAGAUCAGGAAUUUUCACAUAGAACUGGAGUCCUGCAUGUGCACCCACUCUGUUAAAGGCGGUCUUCACUUGAGGUGGUAAGGGAGGUCUGAUAAAGGUACAAGAGAUUAUUUUUCUGUUGUUUCCCCUAGACAGAAGCUCAAAGGUUAAGUCCCAGCUUCCUACAUACAUUUUGAACAUUUUGAACAUUUUACCUAGAAAUUACAUCUGUUCUCUGCAUGUGAUGGGUUUGAUUUUUUAUUUUGCUAAUGCACUAUCAAUCUGGCCAUCCAAUUCAUCUUGUAAGAAGCUGGCAUUGUAUUAUGACUUUCUAUGGUAAUGAGAAAGAGGUAAAGCAUCCAAGAUGCUUUUGUUUGGUAAGUAUCUGAAUGACUAUUACAAGGAAACAGAAGUGCCAGUCUAGCACAGACUGUUCCAUCUUCAACACAGCUGCUUUUCAGAAGUUCAGUAGUAGUAGUUGACUUCCCUCAUGAACUGCAGAGAGAACAAAAAUUUAAGUCUCUGGACACUACCUUGUGAGCUGAACACUAAAAAAAAAAAUCUCUACUAGCAUGCAUUGGCUAAAUACUGUAUGGGAUCUAGCUCUUGGACUCUUGACUUACAUUCAGAUUUUAAAAGAACCUGGCAGAGAGAAAUGUGGUGACAAAAGAUGGUAAAAUUGAUUUUGUGGCAUUUUUGAUUCCUGUUGACCAAAAGUGUAAACAGGGCAUUCAUGAAGCAGGGCAGUCUGUUAUGCUGAACUAAACCAUCCAUCUGAGCCCUAAGUGAGGAUUAAAACAGACAGGUAUCAAAAUCAGUGAGUUACUCCUGAGUUAGUCAUCACUUAGUCCAGUCAUCAGACAGACAUGAUAGGAAAAGUCCUAAAGUAAGAUUGAAAACUGAUGGCUCACUAACUAACUAAAAGUAUUUGGUGCUUAUUUUCAGAACCAUUUUGAAAGCUCUCUGUGGGGCAGGGUAAUUAUCUAUUUCAUCAGAAUAUUCUACUUUUGAAAUCAAAUUGUUCCAUACUUGCCAUAGCCUGAAAGGCAUUAACAUCCCAUCAAUCAGACAGCUGUUUUGAGUGGUUGCCAGUCUCCCCUCUUCAUCCCCAUCUCCCACCCUAACUGUAGAUCAAACCUCAAGAGAAACAUUCAAAUGAGGCACAGCUCUGGGGUGGUGGCUCAUCUUCUCAGGAGUCUUUCAGAACCAACAAUUCAGUACUUUUGGAGCACAGAGUUUAGGCUCAAUUUAGGCUCAAUCAGUUUUGGGGCUCUAUUCUCCUGAUACCACUACAAGUUUUCAUAUACUACUGCAUAUGCGCACACACGCACACACACACACACACACACACACACACACUUUUUUUCUUGCACACUCCACAAUAAUAAAAAUCUGUCAGUCUUCUGUGGGAAUGCAAAGAUAAAAUAUGAAAGAGAAGAUUGUUUGAAGGAUUUGAAUUAUUUAAAACAUUUAGUUCUCAGUUUUGUAUGAGUUAGAGAUGAACCUCUGCAAUCAGAUGAUAAAUUCACAGCAAUACUCAGUGUUUCAGGACAGCAGGUAUAUUUGAAUGCAGUAAAACUGCAAAUGUUGUUAUGAAUUCCAUUCAUAUUGUAAAUUGUGUUGUCAGAGGGAGUCAGUUUCUGUAUCUUGGGUGCUCACAUUUUAUGAGAUAGUUUGCUGAGUUUAAAUGCAAGACCCAUAUCCUUCCCCUCAUUUCUAGUGAUGUAAUUUGAGCCUACUCCACCUGGGAGGAGCUCUCUUUCUGGUUAUUAUUACCUACCAACUCAGUAUAUGAAUUCUCCCUGUCAGUACUUUCAGGAUAACAUGAAUUUAGGAAAUCUGUGCCUGAAAUUCUAGCAUUUUCUCAAAUAACAGCUAUUAUGUGUCUUUUGAACACACAACACUGAAAGUUUUAAGUGAUUGUGGAUUUUUCGAGAAUGGUAACCUUGCAUUCAUCAGUGCCUUAAACCACGUUCCACAUGGGGUAUAAAAACAAAUGUUACAUUUUUAUCUUUUCAAAUUGAGGUGAACAAUUUGGUACAACCUGAGCAGAAGAUCAUAGGUUUAUCCUUUCAGUAAAGUACAACACAGAGGUGCUUGCUAACUUUAGAGUUAAAUUGAAGUCUGUCAAAACACGCGAGUCUAUCCUAGGCCUGUAUUUUCACAUAAACUUUUUCAUUCAGUUAGCUUGAAGUCACACACCUUUACAACAUCAGUUUUACCAAAAUUGCUUUUCCCAACAUAUGAACACUUCAUUUAUUCAGAGAGUGAUUUCAGUAGGAACCUGAGCAAUUCAUAUUUUUGGAAGUUUCCUGAGGUUGAUUUCCUUCAAGAUCUAUAGCUGGUGGUGCUGUUCUGGGAGAGUCCAACAUGAGAAAGCAACAAUAUAAUCAGGUGUAAUAUAUUAAGAAUUGAUCUAAUUAUAUCUUUUCUCAAGUCAAGAGAGGAUGAAGGAGUAAGUCAUUGCUGGUUAAGAUAUAUGUGUGGCACAUCAGUUACCUGCUUUAAGGGCAACUUUGUCUGGGAAGCAGAAGACAUUCUUUCUUCCAUUCCUCCACUUCCAUCCUUCUUGCUCUGGGUUAGUUACAGCUACCAGAAUGGAUAAUUUUUCCUACAUGUGGCAUGGCAUUACAAAUACAUGACUCCAUGCAUAAACAUGCAGAUAAAAAGGAAUGCGUGCGCUUUCAUGAAAAGCCUCUCCAUGUAAACUGCUUCCUUUCCUUUGACUUGCCACUGAGUGCCUCCAGCACCGAUUAAUCUGAUUACUCAUAGUAGUUUGACAUUACAUUUUCAGUGGAACACUUUUCUCAUAAUUGAGAGCAAGACUUGCCCCUGUGUAACAAGGAGACAACAUGAAUAGCACAACCUUGUACUUGUGAGGAUGGACUGAGCCCCAUUCUGAUUCCCUGCUUGAAUUUUUGGAGCUGGCAACCAGAACUUAAAGGAAAAAGAGGCAAAAAUAGGCAUACUUUCUACUAAAAGAAAAAAAAAUCACGCUUUUUCCCUACUCAUAUCAACAUCAGAGCAAAGCAUCUUCCAGUAUGAUUAGAGUAAAAAAUGCAUACCCAUCACAUGUUGUUCCAUUUUCCUUUCAAGGUAGACAAUAAAAUUCAAAUUACACUUCAUCAGUUUUUUAUUUACUUCCCAGGGAAGCUACUUCAGCCAUUUCUGUGAAACAAACUUGGGGAAAAUAUACUGUGUUGCUAGGCUGGGAUAUUAUGGUGAUGGGUUUUUCUGUUGACAUUUGCCCCACAUUUCCGAAGGAGACACCUCAGCUUUGGAAAAGGAGUGGAGCUAACAACAGUCAACUAAUUGUUUCCCUAGCUGACAUCUCUCUGUAUGCAAUUAGAUCCCAUCUCCUUAGAUACUGGACUAGUUUGAAUUUUGCCUUUAAGCCACUGGCAUUUUUCUGGUUCAUGUACCUCUGCCAUGCAGCAGGACUAUGACCCAUGCUCAAGCUGAAUCUCUCAGCCUGACUCAUUGGCAGUCUGAAACUGAUGCCCAUUUACUAUUAGCUGCAUGUGUCUGAAUUAAAACCAUUAUCUGCAAAGUGCUGCUUUCCUGAGCAGCUCUUUCACAUUUGUUACAACUGUUUAUCACCACACCGCAUUGCUGCAGAGAACUUCUGGAUCUCAAUCCUUCCUCAGCUGAGAUCUAUCAUUGCUAGAGAUUAUUUGAAACUACAGCAUGGAUGGACAAAGCUUAAUAGAAGUGAAGCCUCACAGUGAAGUGACAAAUUUCAAUAAAACAGUAUCUGUAGCAGUUUUCCAUAAUUACAAAAUUGCUUUAUCAUGCCAAUUUUAUUUUUACUUGCAGUCUAUCUUGUGUAAGUAUGGGAUAUAUUAACAAUUGGAAGUGUUAAUAUUUUUUAAGUGUUUUAAGUUCAACACAAGUUGAACUUAAUUCAAAUACUGAAACACACAGCUCCUUAUCUGGCAAAUUACCAAGUAUAAUGGAUAAUUCUUCCAAAAUUUUCUCAGAGAUUCAUGUUUUUAAUAACAUCAUGUUGACAAGAAUAACCUAAAAUAGAUCCUUUCCAAAUUUUAACUGUAGUGUGAGAACUGAAGAAAAAAUUCACAUCUAUAUGUCAAUGUUAGUAAAUGUCCCUCUCAGCUAAUACUUCAAGCUUUCUUGUGUUGGAGUUCAGAUAGAGUUCUGAUUGCCUUCAAAAAGUCUGGACCCUCCAGAAAUAAGACAUGUUUCCAGCCUAGAUCUCCUCAGUUCAUAAUGGAAAUACAUUAAUUUGCCCAGCAUGAUUUCUAUCUGUACCAUUCUCUAUGUACUGUCAA